GUGAAAAUGUUUGUACUUUGCGUGACAAUUGUUUCACAACAGCAUUUAUUAUGCAGAUUUCUCCGCACGCCGCUUCCGGUUAGGGUCACGACUCUCCACCCAGUUCCGCUUCCCGACUGGAAAGAUGUCAGGUUGUAUUCGCCAUUGGGAAUUUAGGGAGAGGGGGAUUUCUCUUGAAGCUACGAUGUAAUCCUGAAUACGCAUCGGCGAAGUUUUUUUUUUAAACUGAAAUAUGAUCACCCAUUAUAUGUUGUCAGUAGGUGUAUUUCUCAUACUGUUCCUGAUUGAAGGUUUGUCCCUGCCAAGGCUGGAGAAUGUAACAAUUGAUUCUUAUAAUUUACAUAAUGUGAUACGUUGGAGUGCGCUACAGCCUUUGGACAAUACAACAUUAAAAUACAUGGUUCAGUAUAAAUACAGUGGCAUUGAUGCUUGGAAGAAUUAUGAAGGCUGUGCUCCUACAGUGGACACCUAUUGCAGUUUUCUUCCUCAGCAUCCAUACGUUAACGUGACCCUGCGGGUCCAAGCUCAGGCUGGAAACCACACUUCACCAUGGUCUCAGACUCAGCCAUUUAUGGGACACAUUCAGAGUCGACUGGGACAUCCAAACGUAACACUAACUCCUGUGGACCUCCACUCUUUACAAAUUGAGGUUGACCCUGAUACUAAUCUCAAAAAAUUGUAUGGCGAUGCACUCAAGUAUAGAGUAUUCUAUGGAAAAGAACAUGAACCUUUGAGGAUUCAUGAUGACUUGCCUUCCCCCAUGACCAUUACUUCGCUGGAGGCUGGGGUGAAGUAUUGCUUUAAGGUGUACUACGUCAUUUUCCCCGAUAAGAGACUGGGCAACAGUGCCAGCAAAUUGGAGUGCGUCACCACUGAAGAGUCGGAAAAGGAGAGGGUGAUCCGAAUAGCGUGGCUGUCAAUUCUUUUUGUCAUCCUUUCGGGUGCAGUUAUAUCGGGAUGCAUCUUUGUGGUUAUCCAAAACUACAGCAAAAUCAAAGAGUCUCUGUGGCCUGAUCUCAGUGUAGACUCGUGGAUUCUGGAGGUAUUAUACUUAAUUCCGUGUCAUGUGACAAGAAAUAUACAGAUAGCAGGGCUUUAGAUGGGCGUACCACUCUCUCUGGAUGCUAGCUUUUCUAUAUUAUACUUACACCCUCAGUUUGAUAAGCAGAUUAGUAGUAUGCCUAAAAUAUUAAUGAGGGAUGUAUUGUGAAUCCCAAAAGUUGGUAAUCUAGUAUUAAAUUCAGUUAUCGGAGCAUAUUGCUGUUUUGUUAUACCGUGGAAGCGAUAAGCACUUUAGUGGCGGUGAAGAAAGGGACAGCUCAACAGUCGCAACAUCUUUUAAAAGAGGAGCUAUCAUGGUUAAACAAGUAUGACUUCUCCAAAAUACCUAAGGAUAGGUUCUGCAACUCCUACUCCAAGGAGACCUGGGACAGGGUCUCUGUGAUCAUAGAGAAUGACAAUUAUCAAGGAGAGGAAAGUUAAUUUGCACAGCCUGGAAACUACUGUAGUAUAAAGCACGUCCAGUUCUAAGAUUGCAGAAAGUGAAGAAGACUUCUGAUGUGUUAAAUGUUAGUAUGUUAGUUGAUGAGUAUUGUUUGGUAAUGUUAGACUAUAGGUGUCAAGUCUUGUGGUUUACUUGUGAGACUCGUGUUUGUUUGCCCAUGUUGCCAUGAAUGGUUGUCAUGCCAAUCUCUACCCCAAUAGACAACCGCAUAUCAAACUUGCAUAUUGUGUAAUAACUAAAUGUGAUCAACUUGCAAUAGUGACUCGAUUUAAGAGGACGCAAGUAAACAUUUUCCCUUGUGUAAGGGAGACCCCUAAGACACUAAAUGGUUUUUAUGUGGAAAAUAUGAGCCGUGUUAAACACUUAUCUUUUGCUAAAGGGACAGUAAAUAGUUUUUAAUCUGAAUGCCAAAUUCAAUGCAUUUAACAAUUCCCUACUCAAUAUCAGACUGGUAAGAGUGGAUGCCUAAAUAUGGAUUGAUUGCAUGAUUUAUUUCUUUGGGUAUGUGUGGUAAAGAAUGUUGAUUUAAUUCUCAUAACACUUUCACAGCAUUGAUCUACUGGUGGAAUGCUGAUGGUAUGACUACCUAUUUUGAUCAAUUAAACAUGUUUGUUUAAAAA